AAGGCCUUAACCAACGGGAUCUCGACGACUAUCUCCAGAUCGUCGCCGGUUCGCUUGAAUAGCUCGUGCCUCUUCUCUUGAAUCGUGAAGAUGAUGUCGGCCGGAAGGUAACCCGGUUUCUCAUCGCCUUUGCCUUCGAAGGUAACCUUCGUCCCUUUGGUCCAUCCCGGCUUGACGUUAAUUGUUAGUGUCUCCUCUUGCUUGACUAUCAUUCUGUAUACAUAAAAAAGAAUUGAAUUUAUAUGCGGGUCGGGUCGUAUCGGGUGGGUGGAAUCGGAUUUUAGUAUGGUUUAAUUCAAAUUAGUUUUAAAAAGGUAUAAUAUAAAUUUAGUUCUUAAUAUUUAAAUUUUUUUAUCAAUUUGGUAUUUAUUUUUUAGUUAAAUUUAUUUUUUAACAUUUUAAAAAAAGUUAAAUUAUUUUUUUAACGAAAAUAUUAACUAAAACAUUAAUUUUUUUACAAUUUCGGUGUGACAAGUUGUGUGGCAAUCUAUGUGUAUUUCAUAGUAAAAAUAAAAUAAUUUUAAAAAUUAAAAAAAUUAACAUUAAGUACAUGUGAGUUGUCAUGCAUGAUGUUUGUUGCUUUUAAAAAUUUAAUGUUUCAGUCAAUAUUUUCAUUAAAAAACACAGACUCUUUCUGAAGUUUGAUGGACAAAUUUGACACUUUUUAAAAAGUUAAAAGCUAAAAUUGAAAAAAUACAAACAGUUUGGACUAAAUUUAUCAUUAUGUCUUUAAAAAUAUUUACUAUCAUUAUAUAGUUUUUAAAGAGCUAAACUGAAACCGAAACCGAAACUAAAUUGAACCAUACUAAUUUGGAUUGAUUUAGUUCAUUGGUUUCUUUGCUCAUCCUUAAUUGCUGGGCUUAUGUAUUAUAUUAAGAUUAUACAUGCUUCUUGAAAUCUUGCCUAGCCCGACAAGAAAUAUAAGUUUUAAAUUUUAUUCGAACUCGUUUGUAUUUGUAGGUAGUUAAUUUUUUAAUAUUUUAUUAUAUCGCUAUAGGACACUUGUCAAUCUCUUACACUGAUUGUGAAAUCUAAAAACUCCCCUCAAAUAUGCCAAAUAUUUUCCCUUAAUUUAAAAUUCUAUAUUUUAUACGUUAUAAUUAAUUUAUAUUUAAUCUAUUAUAGAAUAUAAAAAAGGGCAAUGUAUUCUAAAAUUAGAAAACAGGUCGAGAUGAGCUUGGACCAAAAUAUAGGAGCUCAAGCUCAAUUCGUAUUUUAAAUAAAUUUUAAUGUUUUCUUCAAAAUCACACUUUUCAAGCUUAAUUUGUUCAAACCCUUUCAAAUAUAGGGUAAGACUUUAGAUUUAAGUUAGUAGUCUAUCCCAUAAAUAAGUCUACCUCAAGCCCGAGAUUCAGUUUAAUUGUUCAUCAUAGCAUCAUGCAUAUUUAAGUCUUAUGAACAUUAGAUAUACUCGAGAAAAGGAUGGUGUACAUAUAAAAAGAAAUAGAGUUUCAUACCUUUCUUCAGAGAUGACAUCUUUUACGAUGUUGAUCUUUUUUAGCCCUCCAUGACAGAGCUCCUCCAAGGUGCAUUCAAGUGUUUUUUCGACUGGCAAAGGUUUUCUCCGAGCAAUGGAGUGUGAGAAUAUAAUAGGAGUGGUGCUCCUUUGGCUUGUACUUCUCGAAAGGUUAGGUUUUUCGGUUUCUGAAUUGCCUUUUCGGCUCAAACUUCUCGAAAGAGUGGAAGCUCGAUUGGCACUAACACUUCUCUUCUGUUGUUGUUUUUGUGGUGUUUCAUCUUUGUCUCGACCAUUUUUACUAAAAGUUCUCAAAAGCGAGAAUCUCAAAGGGCUAUUAGAUGUCCGGAUCGAACUCUUUGACAAAUAGGUCGGUACAGGUGUAGGUGUGUGGCUCCUUCUACUCGAACUCUUCGAAAGAAACGAAAACUGACGAGAAAACAUGCUCUCGUCCGCACUUAGCCUAUUUUGUUUCUCUCUUUUUAAAUGUUUCUCACCUUUUUUCGAUUUAUCUUCUUGUUCCUUCUUAUUACCUUUCUGAAAUUUAAAGAAAAUCAAACAUCAACAUACAUACAUACAUACAUACAUACAUACAUUUGAAUUGAAAAUUUAUGUACAAACCUUGGAAGAAUCAUCAUGAUCUUUGAUCUUGCCUUCCUCUUUCUUUGGAGAAUUUCUAUCAGAACACCAUUUAUUAACAAUAGAUUUGUAUGCUUUGCAUGAUAAGCCAAUAAUGCCAGACGUAUUCGAACGAUGACGAUCGUGAUUGUGGUCUUCAUCUCGAUCUUGAUCAUGAUCGUCCUCAUGAUCAAGACGACGACGACGACGAUGAG
rnacentral:lncRNA from 1 species